GCGGUGCGCAAGCGCAACCGUCGGUGGGUCGGGGAUCGGUCGCCUGAGAGAUGACGUCUUGCUUUGUCACCCAGACUGGCGUGCAGUGGUGCGAUCUCAGCUCAGUGCAGUCUCCACCUCCCAGGUUCAAGCAACUCUCCUGCCUCAGCCUCCCGAGUAGCUGGGAUUACAGGCACCCGCCACCACACCCGGCUAAUUUUUGUAUUUUUAGUAGAAGCCAGGCUGGUCAGGAACUCCAGACCACUUCAGCCUCCCAAAGUGCUGGGAUUAUAGGCCUGAGCCACCGCUCCUGGCCCAGGUCUUGUUUCUGCUGCUUGCUGUUGCCUCUUCCAAAUCUGAGGUCACCAAGUGAGGUGUGUCUGCCUGGGGAUCCUGACCUGAUGCCGCCUGUUACAGAAUCAUUUCCAAUGAAACCUCUGAAGAGAUGUCGGCACCAUUCUCAGCUAAAGACACCUGGUUGGGUGUGACCCUCAUCUCAAAGACCCCAGACUUUGAAGAGAAACUCUUUUCUUGAGGCAGGGUCUCACUCUCUUUCCCAGGCUGGAGUGCAUUGGUGUGAUCACAGCUCACU
rnacentral:lncRNA from 1 species